rnacentral:rRNA from 1 species
CCUACGGGAGGCAGCAGUGAGGAAUAUUGGUCAAUGGACGAGAGUCUGAACCAGCCAAGUAGCGUGAAGGAUGACUGCCCUAUGGGUUGUAAACUUCUUUUAUAUGGGAAUAAAACGUUCCACGUGUGGGAUUUUGUAUGUACCAUAUGAAUAAGGAUCGGCUAACUCCGUGCCAGCAGCCGCGGUAAUACGGAGGAUCCGCGCGUUAUCCGGAUUUAUUGGGUUUAAAGGGAGCGUAGGUGGUUUGUUAAGUCAGUUGUGAAAGUUUGCGGCGCAACCGUAAAAUUGCAGUUGAAACUGGCAGUCUUGAGUACAGUAGAGGUGGGCGGAAUUCGUGGUGUAGCGGUGAAAUGCUUAGAUAUCACGAAGAACUCCGAUUGCGAAGGCAGUUCACUGGACUGAAACUGACACUGAGGCUCGAAAGUGUGGGUAUCAAACAGGAUUAGAUACCCCUGUAGUC